rnacentral:rRNA from 1 species
AACGUAGGAGACAAACGUUAUCCGGAGUUACUGGGCGUAAAGGGCGUGUAGGCGGUUUGUUAAGUCUGGCGUGAAAGCUCUCGGCUAAACCGGGAGAGGUCGUUGGAUACUGGCAAACUAGAGGACGGUAGAGGCGUGUGGAAUUCCGGGUGUAGUGGUGAAAUGCGUAGAGAUCCGGAGGAACACCAGUGGCGAAGGCGGCGUCCUGGCCCAUUUCUGACGUUCAGACAUGACAGCAUGGGGAGCGAACGGG